rnacentral:rRNA from 1 species
GACGAACGCUGGCGGCGUGCCUAAUACAUGCAAGUUGAGCGCUGAAGGUUGGUACUUGUACCAACUGGAUGAGCAGCGAACGGGUGAGUAACGCGUGGGGAAUCUGCCUUUGAGCGGGGGACAACAUUUGGAAACGAAUGCUAAUACCGCAUAAAAACUUUAAACACAAGUUUUAAGUUUGAAAGAUGCAAUUGCAUCACUCAAAGAUGAUCCCGCGUUGUAUUAGCUAGUUGGUGAGGUAAAGGCUCACCAAGGCGAUGAUACAUAGCCGACCUUAGAGGGGGAUCGGCCACAUUGGGACUGAGACACGGCCCAAACUCCUACGGGAGGCAGCAGUAGGGAAUCUUCGGCAAUGGACGAAAGUCUGACCGAGCAACGCCGCGUGAGUGAAGAAGGUUUUCGGAUCGUAAAACUCUGUUGGUAGAGAAGAACGUUGGUGAGAGUGGAAAGCUCAUCAAGUGACGGUAACUACCCAGAAAGGGACGGCUAACUACGUG